rnacentral:lncRNA from 1 species
UUCACUUCUGGGGAGGCUGUACCAAUAGCUGUGAAAAGAAGAGAAGUGAAAAGCAAAGGAGAAAAGGAAAGAUAUAAGCAUCUGAAUGCAGAGUUCCAAAGAAGAGCAAGAAGAGAUAAGAAAGCCUUCCUCAGAGAUCAAUGCAAAGAAACAGAGGAAAACAACAGAAUGGGAAAGACUAGGGAUCUUUUCAAGAAAAUUAGAGAUACCAAAGGAACAUUUCAUGCAAAGAUGGGCUUGAUAAAGAACAGAAAUGGUAUGGACCUAACAGAAGCAGAAGAUAUCAAGAAGAGAUGGCAAGAAUACACAGAAGAACUGUACAAAAAAGAUCUUCACGACCCAGAUAAUCACGAUGGUGUGAUCACUCACCUAGAGCCAGACAUCCUGGAAUGUGAAGUCAAGUGGGCCUUAGAAAGCAUCCCUGUGAACAAAGCUAGUGGAGGUGAUGGAAUUCCAGUUGUACUGUUUCAAAUCCUGAAAGAUGAUGCUGUGAAAGUGCUGCACUCAAUAUGCCAGCAAAUUUGGAAAACUCAGCAGUGGCCACAGGACCAGAAAAGGUCCGUUUUCAUUCCAAUCCCAAAGAAGGGCAAUGCCAAAGAAUGCUCAAACUACCGCACAAUUGCACUCAUCUCACAUGCUAGUAAAGUAAUGCUGAAAAUUCUCCAAGUCAGGCUUCAGCAAUACGUGAACUUUGAUGUUCAAGCUGGUUUUAGAAAAGGCAGAGGAACCAGAGACCAAAUUGCCAACAUCUGCUGGAUCAUGGAAAAAGCAAGAGAGUUCCAGGAAAACAUCUAUUUCUGCUUUAUUGCCUAUGCCAAAGCCUUUGACUAUGUGGAUCACAAUAAACUGUGGAAAAUUCUGAAAGAAUGUUGGUUUAGAAAUGAACAAAAUUACUAAUUAUCUAGAGUGAUUCACCCAAACUCCCUUUCAUAUAAAAAAAGGUAUCAGUCUGCAUCCUGUUGUGUAUUUCCCAAGUCACACAAGAAAGAUACAGGAUGUCACACUGGUCUGGCCAGCUGUUGUCUGCGAGUCUCAGGGGUACUCUUUGCUUUAUUUCUUCG